rnacentral:rRNA from 1 species
CGGGGCUGGUGCCUAUACAUGCAGUCGAGCGGACGGAUGGGAGCUUGCUCCCUGAAGUCAGCGGCGGACGGGUGAGUAACACGUGGGCAACCUGCCUGUAAGACUGGGAUAACUCCGGGAAACCGGGGCUAAUACCGGAUAACUCUUUUCCUCACAUGAGGAAAAGCUGAAAGAUGGUUUCGGCUAUCACUUACAGAUGGGCCCGCGGCGCAUUAGCUAGUUGGUGAGGUAACGGCUCACCAAGGCCACGAUGCGUAGCCGACCUGAGAGGGUGAUCGGCCACACUGGGACUGAGACACGGCCCAGACUCCUACGGGAGGCAGCAGUAGGGAAUCUUCCGCAAUGGACGAAAGUCUGACGGAGCAACGCCGCGUGAGUGAUGAAGGUUUUCGGAUCGUAAAACUCUGUUGUCAGGGAAGAACAAGUACCGGAGUAACUGCCGGUACCUUGACGGUACCUGACCAGAAAGCCACGGCUAACUACGUGCCAGCAGCCGCGGUAAU